GCACGUAGUUAGCCGGGACUUCUUCUGCAGGUACCGUCAGUUUCCCUUCGUCCCUGCCGAAAGGGGUUUACAACCCGAAGGCCUUCAUCCCCCACGCGGCGUCGCUGCGUCACGCUUUCGCGCAUUAGCGCAAGAUCCCCCACUGCUGCCUCCCGUAGGAGUCUGGGCCGUGUCUCAGUCCCAGUGUGGCUGGCCGUCCUCUCAGACCAGCUACCCGUCGUCGCCUUGGUGGGCCGUUACCCCACCAACAAGCUGAUAGGCCGCGGGCCCAUCCCGGACCGUCGGAGCUUUCCCGGCGCGACCAUGCGAUCGCGCCGGAGUAUCCGGUAUUAGCUCAGGUUUCCCUGGGUUAUCCCGGUGUCCGGGGCAGGUUGCCCACGUGUUACUCACCCGUUCGCCGCUCUCCCCUCGGAAGGGUUACCCCUCCUGAGGUUCCCGCUCGACUUGCAUGUGUUAGGCACGCCGCCAGCGUUCGUC
rnacentral:rRNA from 1 species